GUGUGCACUUUUUAAAAACAUGAAUGUCAACAGUUGCAGAUAAAAUUUAGAAAAUUUUGCGAGAAAGUUGAACAUUUUGGUUUAUUAAACCUAAAAGAAAUGGAUUUUAAACAUUCCUCAUAAAUCUGAUCCCUGAUUCUGAGAGUUCAGGCUCGUUGGAGGGGGGAAAGGAGAAGAGAUUACAUCACAGUUUUUCCUCAGGUUUCUUUAUUAGCUAAGGCAGGGUGACUAUUUGUACAUCUCAUCCUCUGACACUCCAUUCCUAACAUGAAGACUAGUGAAAAGUUAAACAAAUUACUAUUUUAACUGAGUUUGAAGAAGUUUAUAGCUGUAAACUUAACUGGAUAAAAAUCUUGACAUUCUAUGGGUUUCCAGUUUUAUUCAGCUCUUAAAAGAGAACUCUUGUCAUCCUGUUUCUAUAUAUAUUUUAAUUGCACUUUGUUCUAAAGAACUACAUUCAUCCUACAGCAAAUUGGAAUGGGAUGCAUAUGUUUGCUCAUAAAACCUAUAACAGCCCUUAAAAUGUAAUCAAUUUUCUCUAAAAAGACUGAAUAUUCAUUCACAGUCCAUCAAGCCACUCCCAGGAAAAGCAGUCUAAUUUAUCUUCUCCUAAGACCUUCAUAACAACUACUUUUUUUCUGAACAGAAAGGAGGAAAAACAUUUCUUCAUUUCCCUAGUGACGUCUGGGACAAUGCUUUAUGCAAAGCACCUGACUGCAACUUUCUUCUUCUUCAAUCCAUUGACAAGUGGUUUGUAAAAGUAUUAUUCUGUAAAAUCACUAGACAAUGGACGAAUGAUGCCCUUCCAAACAACACUUCUUGAAAUUUCUAAUCAAAAUGUUCUAUCUGAAGUAGCUUGGGUCUGACAGCAAGCCCCACCAUGAAAUGCCAAUGUUUAUUCAUUCAGCGCUCCUCUGCCUUUCGAAGACGACUCUGGCUUUGUCCUCCUGCAGGGAAGAGCAUGCUCUUACGUUUGCAGACAGCAUUUGACAAAGUUCCACAUCAGAGAUCAAGGUCUUGGUAGAGAGAUUGAGGUCUAAAAAAGGAGGAAAACAGAAUGGACAUAAAUGUACAUAAAAUGGAUUGAAUGCUGGCUAAAGGGCAGAAGAGGGUAUGGUCAUAAAUAAAAACUUUUCAUGGUGACAAAAGGUAACUGGAGAUAUAUUAUUGGAUUACUGUGAGGAUCCCACUUGUUUAUUAACCAUUAAGGUGAAUUUGGCAAUCGAACUGAAAGGAAAAUAUCUUGUCUUUUAAAUGUAGUCAUGUCAGAGAAAUGGAGAAUAACAUUGAAAUUCUAUUUUCUGCAGGAAAAUGCAACAUUAAAUUAUGGGAUAUAUAUUUUAUAAAUUGAUUCAAGCUAAUAGGCCUUCAGUUUGAAAUGUUAAUCUACAUUUUUUGAUAUCUUUUACCUCCACACUAUUAUUAAAAAGGACAAGUAAGCAAAUUGUAAAGAGAAGGGAAAGUAUUGAAAGUAGAGUGUCCAU
rnacentral:lncRNA from 1 species